AGAUAAUGGGAAAUUCUAUCCUUCAUCUGAUGAUCCUGUGAAGAAGAUAAAAAUUACACCCGAUGAUACCUUGCCUAAAACCAAGGUCUUGUAUGGAGAGCAACGCCCUCCUUCAUCUG